rnacentral:rRNA from 1 species
GUGGGGGAUAUUGCACAAUGGGCGAAAGCCUGAUGCAGCGACGCCGCGUGAGGGAAGAAGGUCUUCGGAUUGUAAACCUUUGUCCUAUGGGAAGAUAAUGACGGUACCAUGGGAGGAAGCCACGGCUAACUACGUGCCAGCAGCCGCGGUAAUACGUAGGUGGCAAGCGUUGUCCGGAUUUACUGGGUGUAAAGGGUGCGUAGGCGGGGCAGCAAGUUGGAUGUGAAAUCCUCGGGCUCAACUCGAGAACUGCAUUCAAAACUGUUGCUCUUGAGUGCAGUAGAGGCAAGCGGAAUUCCCGGUGUAGCGGUGAAAUGCGCAGAGAUCGGGAGGAACACCAGUGGCGAAGGCGGCUUGCUGGGCUGUUACUGACGCUGAGGCACGAAAGCAUGGGUAGCAAACAGG